rnacentral:tRNA from 1 species
CAGAGUAUAAUAUAAUAUUGUUUUCGUUUACGUUGAAGAAUUUUUUGUGCAAUUCAGAAUGCUCUGA